AAUAGAUACCCCGGUAGUCCACGCCGUAAACGAUGGAUGCUAGCCGUCGGCAAGCUUGCUUGUCAGUGGCGCAGCUAACGCAUUAAGCAUCCCGCCUGGGGAGUACGGCCGCAAGGUUAAAACUCAAAGGAAUUGACGGGGGCCCGCACAAGCGGUGGAGCAUGUGGUUUAAUUCGACGCAACGCGAAGAACCUUACCAGCUCUUGACAUGUCAGGUCGGUUUCCAGAGAUGGAUUCCUCCCAGCAAUGGGCCUGAACACAGGUGCUGCAUGGCUGUCGUCAGCUCGUGUCGUGGGAUGUUGGGUUAAGUCCCGCAACGAGCGCAACCCUCGCCAUUAGUUGCCAGCAUUUAGUUGGGCACUCUAGUGGACUGCCGGUGAUAAGCCGGAGAAGGUGGGAUGACGUCAAGUCAUCAUGGCCCUUAUGGGCUGGGCUACACACGUGCUACAAUGGCGGUGACAGUGGGCAGCUACUCAGCAAUGAGGUGCUAAUCCCAAAAAACCGUNU
rnacentral:rRNA from 1 species